rnacentral:rRNA from 1 species
UACGUAGGUCCCGAGCGUUGUCCGGAUUUAUUGGGCGUAAAGCGAGCGCAGGUGGUUUAAUAAGUCUGAUGUAAAAGGCAGUGGCUCAACCAUUGUGUGCAUUGGAAACUGUUAGACUUGAGUGCAGUAGAGGAGAGUGGAAUUCCUGGUGUAGCAGUGAAAUGCGUAGAUAUCGGGAGGAACACCAGUAGCGAAGGCGGCCAUCUGGCUGGUAACUGACGCUGAGGUGCGAGAGCGUGGGGAGCAAACAGG